GGGGUCACCAACGCCUUUCUCAGGAUUUGACCGCUUUGAGGAGCCCCGAGGCCUCUCCUUUCACCCAGAAAACGUCUUCAGAGAUGUGGCCCUCGACAACUUUCAUUGCCACCUGUGGGGCCACCCGCAUCCCUUCCCGCCUUACCCCUCCCACAAUGAAGAAAACAUCUUCCCAAGGUCCGGGUGGCAUCGAAGAACACAUGCGGGCGCUCCCUUCGUCAUGCGCCAAGGGCCCUCGUACCGGAGAGACGUUUCGCCGUAUCGGAAACGCAAAGUCCCCUUUAAUCGCCACUGAGGAGCAUCUCCUGCCAAGACGAGGGGAAA